ACGAACGCUGGCGGCAGGCUUAACACAUGCAAGUCGAACGCCCCGCAAGGGGAGUGGCAGACGGGUGAGUAACGCGUGGGAACAUACCCUUUCCUGCGGAAUAGCUCCGGGAAACUGGAAUUAAUACCGCAUACGCCCUACGGGGGAAAGAUUUAUCGGGGAAGGAUUGGCCCGCGUUGGAUUAGCUAGUUGGUGGGGUAAAGGCCUACCAAGGCGACGAUCCAUAGCUGGUCUGAGAGGAUGAUCAGCCACAUUGGGACUGAGACACGGCCCAAACUCCUACGGGAAGCAGCAGUGGGGAAUAUUGGACAAUGGGCGCAAGCCUGAUCCAGCCAUGCCGCGUGAGUGAUGAAGGCCUUAGGGUUGUAAAGCUCUUUCACCGAUGAAGAUAAUGACGGUAGUCGGAGAAGAAGCCCCGGCUAACUUCGUG
rnacentral:rRNA from 1 species